CUUCCAGUAGCACCUUAGAGACCAACUAAGUUUGUUAUUGGUAUGAGCUUUCGUGUGCAUGCACACUUCUCCAGAUAUGCACACGAAUGCAAACUUAGUUGGUCUCUAAGGUGCUACUGGAAG